CACUCCCUUUCCCACGUUGAAACCGUCCCUCUCUCCACUCACUCCAUAAGUCUCUCCUACAUAUAAACCAAAUCACCUCCUCUCUAUACGUUCAUCAAUCAAUUUUCCUAUUUUUCCCAUCUCUGCAACAAUAACUCAUUCCUCUGAAAUCCACGACAAACCUUGAAGAGUUGCCGAAUUCUCAAUCCAGUCUCAACCGUGAGAGGAGGCAGCAGUCCGCGGUGACUGAUCGGCGGUGAAGAAACUCGCCCUCGUCGCUAGAUAAGUCUGGAACGCAGCGGCGGAGGCGGGCGAACGGUGACCGGGCGAGGAGACAGCGAAGCAGCGACGGCGACUCCGGCGAGGAGACUGCACAGCAGCGACGGCGACGCACGGCUAGGUCCGCUGCUGUCUAAAUCAGAGGCGACGGAAGGCUGACCGCCGGCGAAAGGGUCGACGCGACGGAUUUCUCGCGAAUUGGAAGUUGACCGACGACCCUCGCGAGUUUUGGAGAAGGCGACGGGAGAUUGAGAAGAGAGAGAGGCGUGGAGAUGGUGGCAGUAGAAAUUGGGCCUCACUAAUUUAAAUUGGGUUGAGCGGCGACGAGAAUAUGGUGGUGUUGAGCAAGUAAAUUGGAGAAUGAAUUGUUCAUCCUUGGAUUAUGAGUGUCGUUGUGUCUUCACACAUGACAUCACUCUCUCUCUCUUGGUCGUUUCCGCUGUGACAUUUCUUUUACUUACCAUUUAUUGGGCCUGCAACUCAAAUUGUUUGGGCAUUGAAUACCUGGGAUUUUGUUGGAUAAUGUCAACUCUUGGUCAUUUUCUUUGAAUAUAAAUUAUUGGUCAAACUCGUUA